GACGAACGCUGGCGGCGUGCUUAACACAUGCAAGUCGAACGGAAAGACCCUGCUUUUGUGGGGUGCUCGAGUGGCGAACGGGUGAGUAACACGUGAGUAACCUGCCCUUGACUUUGGGAUAACUUCAGGAAACUGGGGCUAAUACCGGAUAGGAGCUCCUGCUGCAUGGUGGGGGUUGGAAAGUUUCGGCGGUUGGGGAUGGACUCGCGGCUUAUCAGCUUGUUGGUAGGGUAGUGGCUUACCAAGGCUUUGACGGGUAGCCGGCCUGAGAGGGUGACCGGCCACAUUGGGACUGAGAUACGGCCCAGACUCCUACGGGAGGCAGCAGUGGGGAAUAUUGCACAAUGGGCGGAAGCCUGAUGCAGCAACGCCGCGUGCGGGAUGACGGCCUUCGGGUUGUAAACCGCUUUCGCCUGUGACGAAGCGUGAGUGACGGUAAUGGGUAAAGAAGCACCGGCUAACUACGUG
rnacentral:rRNA from 1 species